UAUCCCAUGAGCGAUCAAACCAUAAAAAAACUGGGGCGUACAGGGCACAGUCUGUGUUUGACCUAACUCUCACGAUCCUCCAAGGUCCUCCACAAAGAAGCAAUCUCUCCAAAGAAAUCCAAAUCCAAACUAUACAAUAAUGUACAGAGUCCAGAGAGAACCAAAAUCUCACGUUCGCAAACAAAAAACCUCUCGACAUCCAAACAAGCUCUCUUGCCACCCUGCAGAGGUCAUAAACUCAACCAUCCCUAUAAUACCUUCCCCACGCAAUGCUUCGACCAACUGAAAGGUUCAUUGUCCUCUAGAUUUUAGAGUACAAAUUCUAAAUCAUCUGCCUCAGCGAACAACACUUCAAGGUAAACUACCUCCAACCAGUGGCACUUCGGCAUUGUCUCCUCCACGGGCAUAAGCUGGCUCCGUCGAGAAAUCAGAUCACCUACAGUAAGCACCAUCUGCAAUAAAUUGUAGAUCAUAGCUAUUAAUGGUCAAUAAUACUUCAAUUAUCUUCUAGGAAGCGCUCAUAUAAAAGUUUUGACAUGUUAGCUCAGAAGGUUGAUUAUGUAGAAAUAGAAAAAACUAUCAUGUUAAUUCUAGAUUAAGUAAUGCAGUUCUAUAGGUGUGAGAUCCUGUCUUAAUGGAGGAUUCAUACUUUUUACUCGUAUAAAGCAGGUUGAUGCCAGCGAUGUUGGUUCCAGUGUAUUCAUGUUUAGAUACUAUACUCUAGAAGACUAGAACCAUACGACAGCUAUAAGAAUAUCAUAGAAACAAAUGGGAUUGCUUGCUGCGAUAUAGAGAAACAUACAUGGUGCAUCAGAUGGUUUUCAUAUUAUAGGUCAGAUGGUUUUAAGACUUUGGGAUGCAAUUAACCUAUCAACUAAUGAACACAUCAUCACUGGUACGAUUUUAUUAGAUAAAAAGGUGCAAGUGUUACAUACAUAUUGUCUCUUUAGUUUUCCUUUUCCAAAGUUUGCUAAUGUUUUCUCUCUAUGUAUGGUAAUGUGAUCAAUGCUUCUAUUGGGAACAAUCUGGUCAGUAAAUUUAAUGCAGAAAUUAUAGAGGACUACAUCUACAUAAUUAAGACCUGCAAAGUUUGGGAGUAUGAAAAAUCGACCAUUGAAGAACAAUCUGAGAAUCCGUUUUCUUUUUGAUAAAACAGUGAAGGAAGUGGACAAAGGAAAAUCCAAGUUUUUGGACUACCACUUCGAAUUUGCUGAUAGUGAUACCUUGGAGAGUCAUUUGAAUACUGAAAAACAAUGCUCAAGUAUGAAAAAAAUUCCAUAUCGAAGAAUAAGCAUCAGUGAAUUAGAUUUAUAAAUAUGAUUAUGUCCAUAUGUCAUUAGAUUGCUCACUAGCUACAAUGAAACCAGUAGAGUAAGUACAAAAAGAUAUAAAGGGAAGAGCAUGGCGCAAACUUCAAACAUCCGUGAGACCGAAGUCCUUCACUAGAGCAAGUGAUUUAGAUUACUAUAGUUAUUUUUCAUUGCAUAGACUAUCUUUAUAUCACCUUUUCAUGAUUAAAUUUGUCCAACGGUGAGAAGAUCCAGAUCGCGCUAUGGGAGUAUGAGGGGAUGUUUUAGCAAAUAUGGUGAAUAAAGGUCUUUUGCACAAACAAACAAUAGUGAUUGUCACUUCAAAUUUGGUCGACAAAUUCAACGGUGAGAACUUUAAUCUCUACAUGUAAACCCAAAUCCAACUUUACUGGCCAUUUAUUACCAGGGCUAUCACUACACAAAACAAAUGACACCAACGAGAAUGGUUUGAAGAAAGAGCAAUAUUAUGUGCAAGAAAUGAAACAGUUUGCGAUAUAAAUGAGUAUAUAAUGGAUCAGCUACAUGGUGAAGCAAAAACUUAUGUAAGCUGCGACACAGUAUGGAAAGCAACUACCUUAAAUGCAGAAACAAAAGUGUUAUAUCCAACAGAAUUCUUGACCAUCUUACAAUUUCCUGGAAUCCCAAAAUCACAGGCUGAAAUUAAAAGUUCGCAUAUCUGUGAUGCUCCUAUGUAAUAUCAACCAAAGUGAAGGGUUAUGCGGUGGUUCAAGGAUGACGAUUAUUCAACUUGGAAGAAGAUUCACCGUAGCACAAAUAAUAACUGGAACACAUGUGGGAGAAAAGGUAUUAUAUUCAAACAAUAGUCAUGUCACCAACUGAAUCAGCAUGGCCAUUUGUUCUAAAAAGUAGACACUGUCCUACAUCAGUCAGCAAAAGUCAGGGGCAAUCUCUAAACAAGAUAGGACUAUAUCUACAUAAACAAGUGUUCACAAUGGACAGUUAUACGUAGCCUUCUCAAGAGUCGCAAAAGAGGACUGACUUCGGGUAAUGGUAAACGAUGACGAUAGCAAUGAGAUGAUGUGGUCAAGAACAUAGUCUAUAAAGAAAUAUUCUAAAGGUAUGAACAAAUAACACAAUUUCAGCAUCAUGCUUCUUUCACUAGAUGAGGCCACUGACCUAUUACAUAAGAAUUACACAUAUAUAAAUUUGGUACACUGCUAUCCUGAAAAUGAAAUCUGACUUACCUAUGCUAACAUGAUAUGGCAGGUCGAAUAUGGUCUGCAACCAUGUCAAAGUAUUGCAAACAUGCAUCUGCGGGUGGAAGUAGUUCAUUGCUACCAAACAUCGACAAUCUAUAUUAUGGGAUACUUGAUUCGACAAGCUUAUUAUUUAAUACAACCCAGUAGUCAGAGCAUUGGGGCAUUGUUUUAUUUCAUAUGUACAAUGCAAUCAAACCUGUUUUCAUAUUCAAUUAUCAUAUAUUAUAAUUUUCUUUGCAAAAUAUUGCAAACAUGCAUCAACAGUUGGAAAUAGUUUAUUACUACCAAACAUCGACAAUCUAUAUUAUGUGAUAUUUGAUUCUACAAGCCUAUUAUUUAAUAUAAUGCAAACCAAUAGUGAGAGCAUCAGGACAUUGUUAUAUUUCACAUGUUCAAUGGAAUUAGACCUGUUUCCAUAUUCAAUUAUUAUUUAUUGAUUUCUCUAAGAAAUAUUCAAACUAUAGCUAAUAAAAAAAUGUAUUAAUUGUUUCUUAAAUUUGUUCUAUAUUAAUAGGGGCAGGGGGGCCUAACACUGCCAAUGCUGGUCCCAAGCCAGAAAAAAGUGGAGGGGGCAUAAACAAAUAAACACUACACCUUAAGAUGUACAUCAUUCAAAACUUACUGUCAUCAUUUCAUAACAUAGCCAUUUUUUUGAAAAGGAGGAAGACCCCCAACCUCUGCAUCAGAAUGAUGCAUUGGUUUGUUUGGCUUUCAUAACAUAGCCAUAAAUCAAUCAAAUGAAAAAGAAGAAAAUCCAUUAUACAGGAUGAUACAAAAAAUCUAUAUAUUGCUAAUUUGCAUUGCUACGUAUGCUCAGACAUAUACUAACAUUCUAAUAUUUUCACUAGCUUAUUACUCCCUGUGAUUCGAAAUAUGUGUCAUGGUUUCAGUCCAAAUUUGACAAAUUUCAACUAAAACCAUGACACUUACUUUGGAUCAGAGAGAGUAGUACCUACUCUGUACCUCAUUCAACACUGUAGAGCACUUAAAAAGAAUCACAUCUUUUUCCAAGGUUUGAAGGAGAAAUGAUGAAAUAUUUACCAAUAACAGGCAUGUCCUUAAUUACAUUAUAUUGUUUGAAUCGCACAGACACAUGAAAAGGUUAAGAAAAAGGUGAAAGAUGACAGAGUCGGGAAAUGAAAAUGGGGACCUGAGGUCGAACUUCGAAGAAUGUUGCCGAGCUGCUACGAGCGAAAACAGAGACGAUGUGUCUGAAUUGCCAUUUGCGCGCUUGGGGAAACGUCGCCAGCAUCCUCAUAUAAAGCUGGAUCCAAGAGGGUUACGGGCCUGCGGGAGCGGAAGAUUAAAUCAACGACCAAAUCAACUACACGCACGCCAACAGUAACAACACCGUGCAGAUUGAUGAGCUCGCCUCCUCCCUGGCGCAGCUGAUCCUUCCCAUCUUAGGAGAGGAGACCAAUGAGGCCUACAAGGAGCCAAACGAGCCGCCGUCGAUGGUAAACCUGUGGCGGAACCAACCAUGGGGGUGGCUUGAGGUGAGGACGAGCAGCCUCAGUGCAGCGAACCAAGAAAGCAAGCUGAUGGGAGCCUUCCGGCAGCUGCAAUUUUUGAGGGAGCAGGGAGAAUAAGGAAAUGAGAUGGGGAUUGGAGAAGAUGAACACUCUCACUGUGCAAAAGAAUGGGCAAGGGAAAUUAAGAACGGAGAAGUCAAGAAGACUACAGAAUGGG
rnacentral:lncRNA from 1 species